rnacentral:rRNA from 1 species
GGUAUGAGUACAGUGGCGCACGGGUGAGUAACGCGUAGGUAUCUGCCUUUUAGUGGGGAAUAACACAGCGAAAGUUGUGCUAAUGCCGCAUGUGAAAGUGAUUUCAAAGGGGGGUAGCAAUACCUCUUGCUAAAAGAUGAGCCUGCGUGACAUUAGGUAGUUGGUGGGGUAAUGGCCUACCAAGCCGACGAUGUCUAUCCGGUCUGAGAGGAUGAUCGGACACACUGGAACUGAGACACGGUCCAGACUCC